UUUGUUCUAUGUGGAAGUGACAAAGACAAAGACAAAAAAAAGUAUGUGGCUGGAGCUGGAGGUAGCGAGAGCCGCUAGCUGACAUCUUUCCACGUCGAAUGGUCAUCAGUCAUCACUCGCCGUCCUUGAAAUCUCCUAGCUACUGAUUGCUCAAGUUCUUCCAGGCUACUACCCAUCCCGAAGACCAACGCUGCUGUUAAAAAAAAGACUCAACCUAAUCCAAAGCAUUAUUAUUACAUGUCAAGAAAAUCUUUAAACCCAGCUUUGCUGACCCCACUGUCCUACCUAUCUCCAUAUGAUAUCUAAUACAAAAGAUGUGACCAAACAUUCAGCAGAGAAUAACAUACUGCAUACGUGCACGUUCUCCUGUGUCUCUUCUCCUACAGUCUACAGACCACUCUCUGCCUGCCCUAACUGUAUGUUUGCUCUCGAUCGCUGCUUUUUCCACGGCCAGCCAAUGCAUGGAAAGGUGAACGAUGCAUCAAAGAUGCAGGAACACCGAACACACACAGCUCAUGUGCAUUUCUUGGACACUGCUGUGCAGCUAGGUGUGGAGCCAGACUAUUGUGUGCGCCAUUAAUUUGGCUAUAGGGAUACAUAUAAGAGGUGUCUUGUACUGACGCGACGCGAGGAAGACGACGGGGGCUGGUCUACAAGUGCUGACCCGAGCGCACUGCGGCAAUGGUUGUUGGUCCAAGCACGCAUCGAGCCAAUCAUGCAGUUCAACGAGUGAGCUGAGGUAAUCAGGAUCAGUCCCGUCAUCGGCUAGAGGCUAGGGUCUUGUUUAGUUCCAGAAAAUUUUGCAAAAUUUUUCACAUUCUCUGUCACAUCGAAUCUUUAGACGCAUGCAUGGAGUAUUAAAUAUAAACGAAAAUAAAAACUAAUUGCACAGUUUGGUCGGAAUUGACGAGACGAAUCUUUUGAGUCUAGUUAGUCCAUGAUUGGACAAUAUUUAUCAAAUACAAAUGGAAGUGCUAUAGUAUCGAUUUUCCAAAAAAUUUUGAAACUAAACAAGGCCUGACGAAGAGGGGAUAUCUCAUAUCUGUGGUGGGGGAGGCGGUGCUGGCCGCUGAUUCGACUGACGACCGGUUUCUUUGUCGCUGUGGUGGUGAUGGCCGAUUUGGUGCCAUCUGUUUGUAUAUGUCCAGCCUCGUGCAGUAGUAGUAGCUUUUGCGCUUGGCCGUCCUGUCGGGAACCAGCGCCCCACAUUGGCACAUUGCGGUCAGGAAAGCAGAAUUGCGACUUAAACUGUGUAGUAGUGGUAGUUGUCUACCUAGGCCUUGUUUAGUUCCUCGUCCAAAUUUUUUCGGACACUGUUGUUAGAAUUAUAGGCAAUUUCCAUAUCAUUUUAAUUCCAUAAAUCAACAUUAUGAUGAUGACAUAUAUAAUAUAAUUAAUCAUAGAAAUCAUGAUAUUAAACAUGUUCAUAGAAAUAUAGAACAUGUGAUCCAUGAACAUGUAGAACAUGUGAUUAUUAAAAAUAUAAAAGCAUAAUAUAUGAAAUAUAAUAACAAGGCAAGACAUAUAUCUUAAAAAGGCAAUAAACAAGAGAUUGUAUGUUAAACGAUGAAAUAGAACUACUGAAACAUAUGAGAAAUAGUAUAUCAAAUGACGUGACUGAACCACUAGUGAAACAUAAAGACAACAGCAUAUGAAACGUUUUAACUUAACCAGCGAAACAAGCAGACAUGACAUAUAACUUAUACCAGAAAUAUAUAUAAGAUAAAAACAGAAAAUACAAGGUAGAACAUAUGAAACAUAACCAGGAUAGAAAGCGCAACAAAACAAACAUACUACUGUAACAUGUAUGAACAGAAAGAUGAAACACAGCAGAAAGAUGAACGGAUCAUACCCUCCCAUGCGCUCCGAUGAUCCCGAUCCUUGACCAACUUCCAUGAUGUAGAGGAUGAAGACGAUCUUUCCACCGGGAAGAAGAAAUCCGCCCGAACCGGCUUGAGGAAGACGAACAGUGGCGGUGGAUUGGGCAGUCGCGUAGACGCUCCCCAAAAACCUAAUUGCCGUCCUCCCCGUGCAAGGAUCACGAACGACAAGGGCUUCGGAGGCACCUGCCCUCUCCCUUCUUCGUGCGCGCGGAUCGAGGAGAUGGAGAAGCCUACGUUGCUGCGGAAUUGUGUCUCUG
rnacentral:lncRNA from 1 species